UUUCUCUCUUUCUCUCUCUCUCUUGUUUCGUAUCUCUCUCUCCUACUCUCCCCAUCUGUCUCUCUUUUCCCCUAUUUCUGCAACACUAAGAAAAUCUCACCUCAGUCUGUAUUCUCUCUCGCCACAUCAAAACAUUAGGACCUUGGAAAUCGGAGCCCUCAUCAUGACACCGUCAAAGAAAGAACCAUUAAACCCACAUGCAGCACUAACGCCAACUCCAAGCUCAUUACCCUCUCUCUCUCUCGUGUUGUUUCUCUUUACACAUUUUCUCUCUUUCUCGUUUUUCUCCUUUCCCAUUUCUCUCUGUUAUCUCAUCUCCCCUGUUUCUGUAUCUUCAGUUAUAAUUUCAAUUUCAAUGUCCACAAGUUCAUAAUUUCAAUUUCAACCAUUCUAACGAUAAUGGUACUAGUAUCAGCUUCAAUCAACCAUUAGCUUCGGUUGAUUUUGGAAACUUAACAAUACCCAACACUUGAAUUCUUCAAUAGACCAUUCAAUACCCAGAAAUUGUCAAAAAGAAAAAGAACCCAAACAUUAAUAGCAGAUAGAAAUGGAAUUUGUGAAGGGGGGAGACCCCAAAUAGAUCAUUUAUGUUGCCUUGGCAAAUUUAACUCCUAACUAGCAAUAAAAGGAGAAAAAUCCAGCACAACCAACCAUCCUCUAGCAAUUACUCAGCAAGAAACUAGACUGACAUCCACUGUAAUCAACUAGUGAUUGAAUAGCAGACCUUGGUUGAAGGAUGGAGAAUAAUGGCGAAUGCAUGGAUGGCAAGGGAGCAAUGAGAGUGUCCACCUAAGACUUGUUUGGUUUAACUGUUGAAUACAGUUGAUAGCUGUUAUUGUUAGUUAAUAGGUGAUGAUAGCUGAUUUAUAUUAAGUGUUUGGUAAAACUAUAUU
rnacentral:misc_RNA from 1 species